AAUUUUCAAUUCUAAACAAGUAAAUGGAACAUAACUAUAUUAAUAGACUUAGAACAGAUGACACUGUUGUAAUCAGAUUUCCGUAGAAAUACAUCCAAUCCUUAUGUGUUUCAACUAAUUUGGUAAAAUAAUCAAGAAUUUGGAAAGAUUUAGUAAACUGAGGCUACUUUAUGUUAAUCACCAUCAAAAUAAUUAACUCAUCAGCCUCUGACAGAUUCUA